GGGACCGAAUCGUGACACAAAAAAAAUCCUCUUUAUCUCCUCAUCUUCCUCGACAGUUUAGAUUUAGGGUUUCUCCAUCAAAACUAUUCACUUCACAACCACAAACGUAUCCUUUCUACUUCUCAAAUUAAAUUCAUAAACUGUUCAUCUUUCUCUAUCUAUACAUCCUCCAGUCUUUACUCAGCCUAUCAAUAAUGGUUGGGUUUCGAAAUUCUCACCAAUAAAUAGUUCAUCACAGAACGAGCCCUUCCUCUACCUGCUUCUGUUGCUCAAGCCGUCCGCCACUCAACUUUUGAGGCUCUUUGACUUGCCUGGACUUCUCAAUUCAUUGUUGCUCGCCUCCUCAGCUUCUGGGAGCAUCAGACAGCCUGUCUCAGCUUCUGGGAGACGCCGGACGUCAAGAAAAACGCAGUGUGGGUUUUGUCAAGCUAGAGCCAAAUCGGCAGACAUCUCCAUGCGCUGGACAACGACAUCAAACUUCACGCUCUGCCGGAGAAACAUCACAUGACACAGCCAGAGAGUUGGAACCAUCACACGCCUUGGAGGAAGACGAUGGUAAUGGAGAGUCAAACGCAAACACUGGUGUGGCUUUAGUAUGGAGAGGUUCUCAGAUGUGACUGAGGAAGAAAGAAGGAUCUCGAUUCCAUAUAGUAUAACAUCUAACUUUGAAAGAAAGCUCACGAGCACUCAUUCACCGUGAAGCCUGCUUUUUCUGUUGGGAGUAAUCUGAAGCCUUCUGCUGCAAGAAAAGAACUCAAGUGUCCUUUGGUUUCUACUAGGGAGCGGUUUAAGUGGUGUUGGUUUCAUGUCGGUGCAACUACACAAGUAGAUAUCUAUUGCUGUGGUUUUAGCCAUGUUUGUGUCUUUAUUCUCUUCAGAUCAUUUUUUUUUUUGUUGGAUCCGGAAUCAAGGUUGUUUUUCAAUGUGUUUAAAUUAUAAACAAGAGAGAUGUGAAGUAUUUUUAAAUUGUGUACACAUGGAAAUAUAAUAAAAGAUAGGAAUACCAUGAUCAAGAAGUUACCCGGAGUUGCUAGCUCAGCUGGAAACACCUUCUUCCCAAAGGGUAGAGGUGCCAGGUUCGAAUCUCAGCAGCUGCGGGGAGGGGAUUAAACAACCUGCUCCUGUUUGAUUAAAAGGAUGAGAUCACAACAAACGAUUUAACGCCAAACUAGUUAGACUCCUUUCGCUAACUUCAGUUAACGCAUAUUAGUAUAUUACUCAAUUUUGUUAUCUGACAAAAAAAAUACACGUUAGUUAUU